AGUGAAUAGAUACCCAGGUAGUCCACGCUGUAAACGAUGAUCACUGGAUAUGGGAUUUGCAAAAAGCAGAUUCUGUGUCGAAGCUAACGCGUUAAGUGAUCCGCCUGGGGAGUACGGUCGCAAGAUUAAAACUCAAAGAAAUUGACGGGGGUCCGCACAAGCGGUGGAACAUGUGGUUUAAUUCGACACUACGCGAGGAACCUUACCUGGACUUGACAUGUAAUUGUUACUGAUGGAAACAUCGGGUUUCAUGGGAAACCAUGAACUGUUACACAGGUGCUGCAUGGCUGUCGUCAGCUCGUGUCGUGAGAUGUUGGGUUAAGUCCUUUAACGAGCGCAACCCUUGCCGUUAGUUGCUAUUGCGAAAGCAAGCACUCUAGCGGGACUGCCUGGGAAACCGGGAGGAAGGUGGGGAUGACGUCAAGUCCGCAUGGCCCUUAUGUCCAGGGCUACACACGUGUUACAAUGGUGAGUACAAACGGAAGCAAGACCGCGAGGUGGAGCAAACCUGAUAAAACUCAUCUAAGUUCGG
rnacentral:rRNA from 1 species